UGGCUCGCUUUGACAGCACAUAGACUAAGACUGAAAUAAUAUGGAGAAGAUUAGCAUGGCCCCUACAAGGUUGACAAGCAAAUUCAUGAAGUGCUUCAUACAUUU
rnacentral:snRNA from 1 species